rnacentral:rRNA from 1 species
UACGGAGGAUCCAAGCGUUGUCCGGAAUCAUUGGGUUUAAAGGGUCCGUAGGCGGUUUAAUAAGUCAGUGGUGAAAGCCCAUCGCUCAACGGUGGAACGGCCAUUGAUACUGUUAAACUUGAAUUAUUAGGAAGUAACUAGAAUAUGUAGUGUAGCGGUGAAAUGCUUAGAGAUUACAUGGAAUACCAAUUGCGAAGGCAGGUUACUACUAAUGGAUUGACGCUGAUGGACGAAAGCGUGGGUAGCGAACAGG